CUGUGUAUUUAACAUGUAUACAGUUGCCAGUGGAGAGAGAGACCAGAAGAGACCACCAUAUCCCUUGGAGCUAGAGUUGCAGGAGGCUGUGAGCCACUCAACAUGGAUGCAGGGAACUGAAUUUGAAUCUUUGGGGAGAACAGGAAGUACUCUAAAGUGUUAAGUCAUGUGUCUAGCCCCUUAUUUACAUACUGUUUUAAUGUAUAUUUCUGCUUUUUGUGACUCCAGAGAAAAGGAGGGAGGACAACGUUACAUACACUGCUGAGGCAAGAUUGAGUGUAUAAUCCAUCAACAUGUUACCUGCUCCCUGAAGGCCUUUUAAAGGGAGGAAUGAUAAAUUAACAUCCGAGAUUUCCCAAACAUGAUGG